UACGUAGGGGGCAAGCGUUGUCCGGAAUCAUUGGGCGUAAAGAGCGUGUAGGCGGCUCGGUAAGUCCGCUGUAAAAGUCCAGGGCUCAACCCUGGAAAGCCGGUGGAAACUGUCGAGCUAGAGUCCGGAAGAGGCGAGUGGAAUUCCUGGUGUAGCGGUGAAAUGCGCAGAUAUCAGGAGGAACACCAAUGGCGAAGGCAGCUCGCUGGGACGGUACUGACACUAAGACGCGAAAGCGUGGGGAGCAAACAGG
rnacentral:rRNA from 1 species